ensembl:lncRNA
GACAGAGGCCCCACCUCCGCACGCACGCCUGUAGCUCGGGUUCCGGUUCCUCCUGGGCUUGCUGCCUCCACCUGCAGCGGUCUCCUCCCGGUGAAUUCUGAAGCCUCUGCCGUCGAGGACACCCUGCCCCACGCCCUCUGCCGGGAUCCAGAACCUCAGCUGGGCCGGCUGUCCAGCCCGGCCUCGACCCUCCUGCCAUUUUCAGAUGCUGCUCCGAGACUCGUGUUUCCCAGCCUCCUCUGCCACCCAGACCUCCGGUGACAGGCCAGCCUUCUUCCGACAGAGAGGGUCGUCCCCGAGCCGAGCCGUGCUCCCUGCAUCCCCGGCUGGAGAUUCUCCACCUUCGCUGAGAACCAGUGACGCACACAUCCUACCAGGGCGGGGGACGCGGGCCUGGUCCCCGCAGCCAGCCUCGCGCCCGCAGGUUGUUCUCAGGCGACUGCUGUCGGUGGGCCGUUUUUUUGUUCAGUGCCUUUCUCCACUUCGUUGAAUCGAGGGAGGCGUUAUGAAGAGGCUUCGCUUGUCUAUUUGAGCUACUGCAGUCAGACUGAACCCCAGAGACAGCAGGUGUAGAUGAUAACGACAUCAAGCGACGUUUACCAGGCGCCAAAAUGUACUGGACACUCACAAAAUCAAGACGGCUUUGUAACGCCCGGCAGAAGUGUCCAUCUGAACCAGGAAGAGGAGGACGCUCUCAGAGAUGAGAGGCGAGUCUCAUGCUGUCCGGGCCAAAUGAAAAGACGGACGAGAGACGAGCCCCGACGGAACAGCCAGCUGCCUCGGAGGGCCCGGCCGCGGAAUUCGAAAGGACCACAGAGGUUUAGGCGCGGGCCUCACUCCCGGCUUGAAGUUCUCGGCAGCGGGAUGACGCACUAAAAGGGGGGGCAGAAGUCGCUCUUUCUCCUUCACGCGGGAAGACGUGGGAAGCACGUUUACAGCAGCUCCCGUGGUGAAGACCACCUCUGAGCAAGCACGGUAUUAACUGUGCCAAAGCUACGCCGUGCUUGAAAGCUAAAGUAUCUCAUUAUGAAGACAGCACCAAGGAAUGUGUGAUUAUAUUAUAAAUAAAUUACCAAAA